CCUACGGGUGGCAGCAGUGGGGAAUAUUGGACAAUGGGGGCAACCAUGAUCCAGCCAUGCCGCGUGUGUGAAGAAGGCCCUCGGGUUGUAAAGCACUUUCAGUGAGGAAGAACGCCUGGUGGUUAAUACCCAUCAGGAAAGACAUCACUCACAGAAGAAGCACCGGCUAACUCCGUGCCAGCAGCCGCGGUAAUACGGAGGGUGCGAGCGUUAAUCGGAAUUACUGGGCGUAAAGCGCGCGUAGGUGGCUUGAUAAGCCGGUUGUGAAAGCCCCGGGCUCAACCUGGGAACGGCAUCCGGAACUGUCAAGCUAGAGUGCAGGAGAGGAAGGUAGAAUUCCCGGUGUAGCGGCGAAAUGCGUAGAGAUCGGGAGGAAUACCAGUGGCGAAGGCGGCCUUCUGGACUGACACUGACACUGAGGUGCGAAAGCGUGGGUAGCAAACAGGAUUAGAUACCCUUGUAGUC
rnacentral:rRNA from 1 species